UCGGUCCAGGGAAAAACCUUUUGAGCUUUGGUUUCGUGGGGUUUUGAAGAAGUUUCAAAGCCUUCGGAUUCGCGAGAUUGGGAUCUCUUGGUGUACUUUUUCGUACGGUUAGUCAACAUCGGUUUUGAAUGUCAUAAAAUGACUGGAGGAAUGUAGCUUCGAUCUCGUAUUGAAGUGUUAUAGCCUUUGGUAGAUGUGAUGUUUGAGACCGAGGAUUGCAACGGAUACCCUUCAGGGCUAUUCGUCUGAUCUCUGAUACGUUGCCUUGAUGUUGAAAGCUUGCUUAUGAUGUUAGGGUAUUACGGUCAAAAGGUUAGAACGAAUUACAUUCGUUAAGUGGUUUGAACGUAAUACUCCCCCAUCAUCAGCAGGCUGCUUACACAUCAGGGCAACGUAUCAGAGAUCAGACAAAUGCCCUGAAGGGUAUCUCUUGCAGUCCUCGGUCUCACACAUCAAUCUCCUACAGGCUAUGACACUUCACUACGAGAUCGGAGCUACUUCGUCCAGUCCUUCAUGACAUCAAAACCGAUCUUGACUAAACAUACGAAAAAGUACACCAGAGCUCCCAAUAUGCGUAUCGAAGCUUUGAAACUCUGCAUAGCGACGAACCGAGCUAAAGGUUGAUUCCCUAUGUAUGACUGACUUCCUCGUUCUCUAAUCAAA
rnacentral:rRNA from 1 species